rnacentral:rRNA from 1 species
CCUACGGGUGGCAGCAGUAGGGAAUUUUGCGCAAUGGUCGAAACCCUGACGCAGCAACGCCGCGUGAUCGAUGAAGCUCUUCGGGGUGUAAAGAUCUGUCAGUGGGGACGAAACCUGACGGUACCACCAGAGGAAGAGACGGCUAACUCUGUGCCAGAAGCCGCGGUAAUACAGAGGUCUCAAGCGUUGUUCGGAAUUACUGGGCGUAAAGGGUGCGGAGGCUGUUUCGUAAGUCGUGUGUGAACGGCGCGGGCUCAACCCGCGGACGGCACAUGAAACUGGGAGACUAGAGUAAUGGAGGGGGAACCGGAAUUCUCGGUGUAGCAGUGAAAUGCGUAGAUAUCGAGAGGAACACUCGUGGCGAAGGCGGGUUCCUGGACAUUAACUGACGCUGAGGCACGAAGGCGAGGGGAGCGAAAGGGAUUAGAUACCCCUGUAGUC